rnacentral:rRNA from 1 species
UACGAAGGGGGCUAGCGUUGCUCGGAAUCACUGGGCGUAAAGCGCACGUAGGCGGGUUUCUAAGUCAGGGGUGAAAUCCUGGAGCUCAACUCCAGAACUGCCCUUGAUACUGGAGAUCUUGAGUCCGGAAGAGGUAAGUGGAACUGCGAGUGUAGAGGUGAAAUUCGUAGAUAUUCGCAAGAACACCAGUGGCGAAGGCGGCUUACUGGUCCGGUACUGACGCUGAGGUGCGAAAGCGUGGGGAGCAAACAGG